GCCACCUCCCGAGCGGCUGUCGGGGGCCCGCCCAGCUGUUGACAAAGGCCGCACUGUAGAACCCGGGGGUUUGGUGAAGGGUUGGAUUCCAAGCCACCACUUGUUAGGCCUCCCACUGGUCAUAGCUACACAAAGUGUAAUCAUAAGAAAACAUCAGAGAAACCCCAGUUGAAGGAUAUUAUGCACAAUACCUGACCAGUACUCCUCAAAAUUGAUGUGGUUAUCAAGAACAAGGAAAGUCUGAGAAACUGUCAAGCCAAGAGAAGCCUAUGGAGACAUUACAACUAACUGUAAUAUGAUACCUUGGAUGGGAUCCUGGAAAAGAAGAAAAGAUAUUAGGUCUCUAGACUUUUGUUGAGUGAAGAACAAUUUACUAUGAGGUGACCUACAAAAACAACACUCAGAAUUCUCUCAAAUCACAUUGGUCAGUGCAAUCAGCUCUCAGAUAUUUGCUUGAGAAGCAGCCACAGAUUAUAUCCUGAAGAAAUGGAAAAGAAAUGACCCCCAGUCUGGAUAACAUCCCGGAUAGUGUAUGAAAAGUCUAGGAAUACCACGGUUUAUGCAUCAUUUCGUGUUCAUUUGGGGGAUGGUACAGUCAGAGAAACCAUGAGCAAGAGAAGGUUGAAGGAUGAACUAGCAAGUGUGGUAAACUGAAUUAGAGACCCUGUCCAGAGGUUCUCUGGCACCUGUAGAUCCAAGCAUGAGUGACUUUCUGGGUGACUGUGGCAACAUCUCUUGUAAUCCCCUUGGGAGCCCUGGUAUUCCUUGAACAUGCAUACCUUUCCCAGUGUGAGGGACAUGGACCGCGCUGUUCGAGGGACCCCAUCUUCUGCAGCAAGAGGAACAGAGAAGAGAAGUCAGGAGGCCAGCAAGAGGCAGAGAAGCUGGGGCCUUCCAAGGGGCCAGAAAGGAAGCAGGAGGAUCUUGGGUCAUGAUGUGGGACCUGAUGACACACAGUGGAACAGCAUCCAGAAGAGCUGCUGAGGUCAAAAAGGGGAAUCAAAAUGGUAGGUCAUGGGCUGAAACUGGAGCAGACAGGACCAGGGGCAGUUGCCAAGCUAAAUGGGAGAGCCAGUAAAAAGGGCGGAAAGGGGAUGGAUCCUCCAGUGAGCAGAAAGAAGGGCUGAAGGUUUUCCAGAGGCUUUUCUUCAUGUCAUUACCAGGGUUUCUUGUUGUGGUUUCUUGGAUCUCAAUGAAAGAAUUAGCUAUUCUCUGAGGUACAAAUUAGAGACCUGGAGGGCCAUUUGCUAAAUAAUGUUUAUAAAUUUUUAUAUUAGUUGUCAACAUUUAUAAUUGGAAGGAUUCCCAUAAAGGUCUGGAUUUCCUGCUUUUCCUGAAAAACCAAGAGACCAAGCCAUCUUGGGUCUGCAUUUCUGCAGAGUAACUGUUGGUCUGCUUCUGUAGCUUGCUUCAAUCAUUUGUACUCCCUGACUGGCCCUGAAAGCAUCCAAGUUACUGCCCCUGUGGCACAUGAUUCUUAACCUGAAAACCAAGGUUUUCUGAAACACAGGAGGUUUGUGCUUAAAGCCUCCUUGACUCAUGACACCUUUUUUUUAAAACCACUUUAUUAAGGUAUGAUUGACAUAUGAAAAGCUAUCCAUAUUUUAUGUAUAUACCUUGAUGAGUUUAGAGAUAAGUAUACACUUAUGAAACUCUUAUCACGAUUUAUGCCGUAAGUCUAUCACUUCUCAACAUUUCUUCCUUUUGCCUUCUUAUUUACUUAUUAUUGUUAUUGUUGUUGCUGUUGUGAUAAGAAUGCUUAUAAGAUCUACCCCGUUAGAAAACUUUUAGGUAUACAACACAAUAUGGUUAAGUCUAAGCACUAAGCUGUACAAUAUAUUUCAUUUUGUGUAACUCCCACAUUGUCUUGGUGGGAUUUCUUUCCAUACAGUCCAAUGGGUGACUGCUACCAUGGGAAUUCCAAUUGAAACGCUGAUUUUUCUUACAGUAUGUUUGAAAUUCUUUCCCUGGGUGGAGUUUAUUUCAACUGCAACAGUUUGUGCUCUAAAAAUUACCUUUUUCAUGAUUUUCAUAUAUAAAGAAUUUCUUUCUUGUAUGAAUCCUCUGGUGAACAGGAAGAAAUGCACUUUGGCUAAAAUAUUAUUUUCAUACUCAUUAUAUCAUAUGGUUUCUGCCAUCUCUUGGGAUGGGCUUUUAUGAAUUCCCAGCAGACAUUAAUGAGGAUGAGGUAAGUCUACAUAAAAGGGGUGGGAGAGCCAAACAUUACUUUCUUCAUGUUACAUCCUGAAAAAAACCUUGUGUAGUGCUGCGGGGAUUAUAAUAUAUACCCAUUUCCAAGAGUCUAAUACCUUCACUCUGCUAAGUAAGUAGAAUACAAUUCAUUUAUUUAUUUUAUUUUAUUGACACACUACCUAUUUCCCAAAGCAAUUUGAAAUAACCAGCAAUAAAAUCUAAGAUAUAAAAACAUGAGGCUAUAAAAAUGGGGAGACAAUUUGAUAAAUACAAACAUCCCUAGCAGAUAAGGAGAAAUGCAUGCUUCUCCUAACCAUCCAUGGUUUGACUCUGAAGUUAAACUAUUUGACCUGAAACCAAAUGAAUCUGUGAUCCAUUUGGCCCAGGCUCUGAGAAAGAUUGCUUUAAAGAAUUAUUCAGCAGACAAAAAUAAUACAAAAAGAGCCUCAUUCUUCACUCUCAGCUCUCAAAGGACAUGGAAGGAGAUAAUGCUUAACCAUCCUCACCUCUCCUCUGCCCUUUGACUUUUCACUCCCCAUGAAAAGCCUCUCUUCCUUUCCCUCCCUCCUCGACUUACUCCUCCAGCUCCAUCCAAUUACUUAUUGUACAGUUUGUCUAGCCUUUCUUUUUAUGGUUGGCUCGCUGAAGUUUUCAAAAGCCUUCUAGUCUAAGAAGUCAGUGUGUAAACAUCCACACAUUGUUAUGCUUUAUUCUCUCCAGCAAACUUACCGAAUGCCUAUCAUGUGCUACAGUCUAUGCUAGAGCACAGGAAGAGAAAAGUGAAAUAGGCAGACCUCUGAAGUGCUUCUCAGUUAGCACAAUGGGAUGAGGAGUGGGUGAAAGCACCCCUCACCCCCACCCCAGGUAGUGCCUAGGGCCUGGUGCCCUUACUGUUGACCUGCGAGGUAAAUGGUCUGCAACGCACUAAGGAGCUGCCUUCUGGUGGAAGUUUUCUCUGCCUUCUGGCUGAAGACAACUUGCAGCAAAGCUCUUCUAAGGUGGCUGUCAUGCACGGGGUUGUAUGUACCCUCAGUCAGAGGAGGGUAGGGGCAGACAUGCUCAUAGAAAGGCAGAAACAAGCCAUAGGUGGCAAGUGCCAAGCAUGUAACCACAAACACAUGCAAUUCAAAGCAGCUUAAAAACCAGGAGGCACAAAGCAAGCAGGGAGAAAUCCUCUAAUCCCCUGAUGGAAUGUCCUGGAAUGCUCCUCACUCUCUCUUUUCAGUGCGUGCAAAAUAUACAAUAAUAAAAUCAAAGUGUUCUUUCCCUAAUCAGUACAUAGAAUGGAUGAACAAGCUCUGUGAAAAACUGUUUUUGUGGGGAACAUUCAGUCUCCUGUGGGCUGUUUCAGUUCAGUAGGCACUGAAAAGACAGGAAUCCAGGAAAGUGUGGGAAGAUUCCAGAGACCCUCUGGAGUGAAUUCUGCCAGGUUGUAGUGUGUGUGAUGAGUGUGAAUACUCAACCCUGCUCCCAACCUGAGCUGCUAAACAUAAGACAGGCCCUCAAGAAAGCUUGUGUUGCAGCAUGUCCAAAUAUGGAGCUUGCCAGUGAAGUUACUGGCUUCAGGACUUCAAGGGCCUUGAGCUUGGGAACCACAGUAAUUCAUCCAUAGUACAGGUUCUCACUUACUAGCUGUGUGACCUUGAGCAAGUUACCUCGCCUCUGUGUUCCUUGGUUACCUCAUCUGUCAAAUAACUAUCCCACAGGGUAGUUACAAAAAUUAAACAGAUUGAUAUGGAAAUAAGAUUGCCGGCUAAAAUACAGGAUGUCCAGUUAUAUUUGAACUUCGAAUAAACAACAAAUAAUUUUUUAGUGUAAGUGUGUUCCAAAAUUGUAUGGACAUAGCUGUAUUUUCAUUUGCUAAAUCUGCAGCUCCAGAUGGAAAGCACCUGGCACUUAGCAAAUGCCAGUGUCAGAUGUUAUAUUCUGUUAUUGUUAACUUUGGGGCUGAAUCAAUUACUUUGGAGUUUGGUUUUGAAGAGAUUGUUGUUCUUAGUUUUGAGUCUGAUCCAUCAUUUGGAGUUAAAUUAGGAGGGCCUCACUCUUCUGGUCAUGAAGCCAUAGAGCAUCUUCCCUGGGCAUCUAUCUGACCACAAAAGCCCAAGUGGUCUUAUAAUCAGUGACUCCCAGAGAAGCCCACCUCCAAGACCACCUUCACUUGGCUCCACUCCCUCUCUUACCAUCUGCCUCUGAGACCAUGUAGAGAUGUCCUUUGCAAGGUUACAGACAUGAACAACAAAGGAACAAAUGUGGGUAGAAGGGAGUGACACUUUCUUGGACUUCUAAGUGCGAGGCCCGAUCCCAGACACUUCUGGUGUGUUUCCUCACUUCAUCCUCCCAGCAAUUCUGCCACUGAAUCUCAGGAUAUCCAUCUACAAAUUGGGGAUGGUAAUGCCUCCUAAUGCCAUAGAAUCAUAAAGAGGAAAGUGAAGGCCCUGAGCAUGGAGUAGACAAUGGAUGCAUUUCCUUUCUCCCUGCUUUUUCCUCAUCAGCCCCCACUUUACCAGUGAAAGAAAGGACUUGUCCAGGGCUGUGCAGCUGGAAAAUAGUGGAAAGGACUAAAUAUUAGGCCUGUUGGCCUUCCCACUUCACCAUGCUACUCUUAUAGCUGUUUCUCCUGGUCUUUGGUCUCACCUCUCGUGGUUCCCGGUGUGUGCAUGACACUAUGACACUCCUGUUAUUCUUCCAGGCUGCUCCCGCCUUCACAAACACUUUCCUUCAGGAGACCCUCCAGCCAGCACAAAUUUGAACACGUAGUUGGAGGAAAGAUGGCAGGGGCACCCCCUUACCUUUCCACAGGCCCAGUCUCACCAAGGGUCCAUUUCCCUUCCCUGAAAUCAGCCAAGCAUGGAGGCCCAGGCUGUCUCCCCACAAGCUCACCCUAUAAUAAGCCAGCAGGUCACAUUUUGUUCUCCUUAAAUAAACCUUAUAGAAACAUUUAAAUGUUUAUUUCACUCAUAAAUUCCCAGGAAUGCGCAACAGUUUCCUAACUGCUUGUAUGCAGAGAUAAAUAUAGGCCUGUGUCAUAGACGGGAAUAUUAUCUUCCCUUCCCCAACAUCACAUGACUAGGCCUGGGGAGGAAGCUCUAAGAAACAGCCCCAGUCCCAGCCCUGGUGGGAGUGGGGAGUUCAGCUCCUGCACUUGGGCCCUGGCAGAUAGCCUGGGAGAGAAGGACCCAACUGGAAGCCAGUGUAGGGUAUAAUGCAGUUGGGGAGCCCUAGUGGGAAUCCCACCUGGAUGACCUUGGGCACUUUACUUAACUUUUCUGAGUUUCAUAUUCUCAAACAUUAUGUGAGCUAAUAAUCCCCAUUUUCCAGCCUUGUUUGAAGGAUUAGACAAGAUAAAGCAAUAUUAAUAGUGAUGAUAUUGGUGAGAAUGGUAGUAGAGGUUGGGACUUGUGGUGGCUGUAUCCUUAGGUCCCUUUCUCAUCACAUGGAGGGCAAACACGGACUGUCUCUGUAGAGAGGGGCCCUGGCCACAAAGAGGAAUUAGUGCUCUUGUGAUGGAUAAAAGGACUCUGGGGACUUGGGAGUAAAUUAUUAUUCUAGCAGCAAGUCCUAAGAGCAUGGGGGAGAGAGCAGAAAUGCCUCUGCUGAAGUCUGCUGGAUAUUGGGCUCCUCCCUGCCAAGAACUGAGUACCAGUUCCUGGCUCCCCUAAAGCUCCUCAGUGCCCACCCUGUGGAUCCCACUGUGUACCCAGGGCCUGCUUGCCUUUGGAGGAUACUCUUUUUUUUAAUGUUUUUUUUAAUGUUUAUUCAUUUUUGAGACAGAGAGAGACAGAGCAUGAACAGGGGAGGGUCAGAGAGAGGGAGACACAGAAUCUGAA